rnacentral:rRNA from 1 species
AACGUAGGGGACAAGCGUUAUCCGGAUUUACUGGGCGUAAAGCGCCCGUAGGCGGCCUGACAAGUUGGACGUGAAAGCUCCUGGCUUAACUGGGAGAGGCCGUUCAAAACUGUCAAGCUAGAGUCUGGAAGAGGAGAGCGGAAUUCCCGGUGUAGCGGUGAAAUGCGCAGAUAUCAGGAGGAACACCAAUGGCGAAGGCAGCACUCUGGGACGUGACUGACGCUGAGACGCGAAAGCGUGGGGAGCAAACAGG